CGAACGCUGGCGGCGUGCUUAACACAUGCAAGUCGAACGGAAAGGCCCUGCUUUUGUGGGGUGCUCGAGUGGCGAACGGGUGAGUAACACGUGAGUAACCUGCCCUUGACUUUGGGAUAACUUCAGGAAACUGGGGCUAAUACCGGAUAGGAGCUCCUGCUGCAUGGUGGGGGUUGGAAAGUUUCGGCGGUUGGGGAUGGACUCGCGGCUUAUCAGCUUGUUGGUGGGGUAGUGGCUUACCAAGGCUUUGCCGGGUAGCCGGCCUGAGAGGGUGACCGGCCACAUUGGGACUGAGAUACGGCCCAGACUCCUACGGGAGGCAGCAGUGGGGAAUAUUGCACAAUGGGCGGAAGCCUGAUGCAGCAACGCCGCGUGCGGGAUGACGGCCUUCGGGUUGUAAACCGCUUUCGCCUGUGACGAAGCGUGAGUGACGGUAAUGGGUAAAGAAGCACCGGCUAACUACGUG
rnacentral:rRNA from 1 species